UACGGAGGGUGCAAGCGUUAUCCGGAUUCACUGGGUUUAAAGGGUGCGUAGGCGGAUAUGUAAGUCCGUGGUGAAAUCUCUGGGCUAAACCCGGAAACUGCCAUGGAUACUAUGUGUCUUGAAUGUUGUUGAGGUGAGCGGAAUAUGUCAUGUAGCGGUGAAAUGCUUAGAUAUGACAUAGAACACCAAUUGCGAAGGCAGCUCACUAAGCAAAUAUUGACGCUGAGGCACGAAAGCGUGGGGAUCAAACAGG
rnacentral:rRNA from 1 species